GAGGCCAAACCGGAUCCAUUCGCCUGCUAUUCUCUUGCCAGCACACAGGGUAGACAAAAUAAAAUGUCUCAGUAUAAAUUCUUAAAUUUAUAUCUAAAGUAGUAUAAAUGCUUGCCUGGGCCAUGCAAAGGAGGCUGGCACAAAGAAGGGGGAGCGACUGGGAAGAAAGAA
rfam:Mus musculus chromosome 5, GRC primary reference assembly.